rnacentral:rRNA from 1 species
GACAAGAAAUAACAAUACAGGGCUAUUGUCUUGUAAUUGGAAUGAUGGUGACGUAAAAGCUCACCAGAGUACCAAUUGGAGGGCAAGUCUGGUGCCAGCAGCCGCGGUAAUUCCAGCCCCAAUAGCGUAUAUUAAACUUGUUGCAGUUAAAAAGCUCGUAGUUGUAUUUCAGCCUGUCGUCUUUUCCCUUGUUUGGGUUUUUUCGCGGGCCUUUUUUUUACUUUGAGAAAAUUAGAGUGUUUCAAGCAGACUUUUGUCUUGAAUACUUCAGCAUGGAAUAAUAGAGUAGGACCUUGGUUCUAUUUUGUUGGUUGUGUACCUUGGUAAUGGUUAAUAGGAACGGUUGGGGGCAUUCGUAUUUAACUGUCAGAGGUGAAAUUCUUAG